rnacentral:rRNA from 1 species
GGUUAAGCGACUAAGCGUACACGGUGGAUGCCCUGGCAGUCAGAGGCGAUGAAGGACGUGCUAAUCUGCGAAAAGCGUCGGUAAGGUGAUAUGAACCGUUACAGCCGGCGAUGUCCGAAUGGGGAAACCCAGUGUGAUUCGUCACACUAUCGUUAACUGAAUACAUAGGUUAACGAGGCGAACCGGGGGAACUGAAACAUCUAAGUACCCCGAGGAAAAGAAAUCAACCGAGAUUCCCCCAGUAGCGGCGAGCGAACGGGGAGCAGCCCAGAGUCUGAAUCAGCUUGUGUGUUAGUGGAACGGUCUGGAAAGUCCGACGGUACAGGGUGAUAGUCCCGUACACCAAAAUGCACAGGCUGUGAACUCGAAGAGUAGGGCGGGACACGUGGUAUCCUGUCUGAAUAUGGGGGGACCAUCCUCCAAGGCUAAAUACUCCUGACUGACCGAUAGUGAACCAGUACCGUGAGGGAAAGGCGAAAAGAACCCCGGCGAGGGGAGUGAAAAAGAACCUGAAACCGUGUACGUACAAGCAGUGGGAGCACCUUUAUGGUGUGACUGCGUACCUUUUGUAUAAUGGGUCAGCGACUUAUAUUCUGUAGCAAGGUUAACCGUAUAGGGGAGCCGCAGGGAAACCGAGUCUUAACUGGGCGUUAAGUUGCAGGGUAUAGACCCGAAACCCGGUGAUCUAGCCAUGGGCAGGUUGAAGGUUGGGUAACACUAACUGGAGGACCGAACCGACUAAUGUUGAAAAAUUAGCGGAUGACUUGUGGCUGGGGGUGAAAGGCCAAUCAAACCGGGAGAUAGCUGGUUCUCCCCGAAAGCUAUUUAGGUAGCGCCUCGUGAACUCAUCUUCGGGGGUAGAGCACUGUUUCGGCUAGGGGGUCAUCCCGACUUACCAACCCGAUGCAAACUACGAAUACCGAAGAAUGUUAUCACGGGAGACACACGGCGGGUGCUAACGUCCGUCGUGAAGAGGGAAACAACCCAGACCGCCAGCUAAGGUCCCAAAGUCAUGGUUAAGUGGGAAACGAUGUGGGAAGGCACAGACAGCCAGGAUGUUGGCUUAGAAGCAGCCAUCAUUUAAAGAAAGCGUAAUAGCUCACUGGUCGAGUCGGCCUGCGCGGAAGAUGUAACGGGGCUAAACCAUGCACCGAAGCUGCGGCAGCGACGCUUAUGCGUUGUUGGGUAGGGGAGCGUUCUGUAAGCCUGCGAAGGUGGCCUGUGAGGGUUGCUGGAGGUAUCAGAAGUGCGAAUGCUGACAUAAGUAACGAUAAAGCGGGUGAAAAGCCCGCUCGCCGGAAGACCAAGGGUUCCUGUCCAACGUUAAUCGGGGCAGGGUGAGUCGACCCCUAAGGCGAGGCCGAAAGGCGUAGUCGAUGGGAAACAGGUUAAUAUUCCUGUACUUGGUGUUACUGCGAAGGGGGGACGGAGAAGGCUAUGUUAGCCGGGCGACGGUUGUCCCGGUUUAAGCAUGUAGGCUGGUUAUCCAGGCAAAUCCGGAUAAUCAAGGCUGAGGUGUGAUGACGAGGCACUACGGUGCUGAAGUAACAAAUGCCCUGCUUCCAGGAAAAGCCUCUAAGCAUCAGGUAACAUCAAAUCGUACCCCAAACCGACACAGGUGGUCAGGUAGAGAAUACCAAGGCGCUUGAGAGAACUCGGGUGAAGGAACUAGGCAAAAUGGUGCCGUAACUUCGGGAGAAGGCACGCUGGUGUGUAGGUGAAGUCCCUGCGGAUGGAGCUGAGACCAGUCGAAGAUACCAGCUGGCUGCAACUGUUUAUUAAAAACACAGCACUGUGCAAACACGAAAGUGGACGUAUACGGUGUGACGCCUGCCCGGUGCCGGAAGGUUAAUUGAUGGGGUUAUCCGUAAGGAGAAGCUCUUGAUCGAAGCCCCGGUAAACGGCGGCCGUAACUAUAACGGUCCUAAGGUAGCGAAAUUCCUUGUCGGGUAAGUUCCGACCUGCACGAAUGGCGUAAUGAUGGCCAGGCUGUCUCCACCCGAGACUCAGUGAAAUUGAACUCGCUGUGAAGAUGCAGUGUACCCGCGGCAAGACGGAAAGACCCCGUGAACCUUUACUAUAGCUUGACACUGAACAUUGAGCCUUGAUGUGUAGGAUAGGUGGGAGGCUUUGAAGCGUGGACGCCAGUCUGCGUGGAGCCAACCUUGAAAUACCACCCUUUAAUGUUUGAUGUUCUAACGUUGGCCCCUAAUCGGGGUUGCGGACAGUGUCUGGUGGGUAGUUUGACUGGGGCGGUCUCCUCCCAAAGCGUAACGGAGGAGCACGAAGGUUAGCUAAUCCUGGUCGGACAUCAGGAGGUUAGUGCAAUGGCAUAAGCUAGCUUGACUGCGAGCGUGACGGCGCGAGCAGGUGCGAAAGCAGGUCAUAGUGAUCCGGUGGUUCUGAAUGGAAGGGCCAUCGCUCAACGGAUAAAAGGUACUCCGGGGAUAACAGGCUGAUACCGCCCAAGAGUUCAUAUCGACGGCGGUGUUUGGCACCUCGAUGUCGGCUCAUCACAUCCUGGGGCUGAAGUAGGUCCCAAGGGUAUGGCUGUUCGCCAUUUAAAGUGGUACGCGAGCUGGGUUUAGAACGUCGUGAGACAGUUCGGUCCCUAUCUGCCGUGGGCGCUGGAGAAUUGAGGGGGGCUGCUCCUAGUACGAGAGGACCGGAGUGGACGCAUCACUGGUGUUCGGGUUGUCAUGCCAAUGGCACUGCCCGGUAGCUAAAUGCGGAAGAGAUAAGUGCUGAAAGCAUCUAAGCACGAAACUUGCCCCGAGAUGAGUUCUCCCUGAGACUUUAAGUCUCCUGAAGGAACGUUAAAGACGAUGACGUUGAUAGGCCGGGUGUGUAAGCGCAGCGAUGCGUUGAGCUAACCGGUACUAAUGAACCGUGAGGCUUAACCUU